GACGAACGCUGGCGGCGUGCUUAACACAUGCAAGUCGAACGGAAAGGCCCUGCUUUUGUGGGGUGCUCGAGUGGCGAAAGGGUGAGUAACACGUGAGUAACCUGCCCUUGACUUUGGGAUAACUUCAGGAAACUGGGGCUAAUACCGGAUAGGAGCUCCUGCUGCAUGGUGGGGGUUGGAAAGUUUCGGCGGUUGGGGAUGGACUCGCGGCUUAUCAGCUUGUUGGUGGGGUAGUGGCUUACCAAGGCUUUGACGGGUAGCCGGCCUGAGAGGGUGACCGGCCACAUUGGGACUGAAAUACGGCCCAGACUCCUACGGGAGGCAGCAGUGGGGAAUAGUGCACAAUGGGCUGAAGCCUGAUGCAGCAACGCCGCGUGCGGGAUGACGGCCUUCGGUUUGUAAACCGCUUUCGCCUGUGACGAAGCGUGAGUGACGGUAAUGGGUAAAGAAGCACCGGCUAACUACGUG
rnacentral:rRNA from 1 species